GUUAUUGUUUCCUGCUAUUUUUGUUGUUUGAGGAGGAAUUAUGUUUGUUUGCUUCUUUUCUUUUAGUUUCAUUACAAGGAGAUUACUUUCUUGAUUUUUCUAGGGUGUAGUUUCCCUCCUCGUGUUGGAGUUUUUCAUCUAUUAUCCUUUGUAGGGCUGGAUUUGUAGAACAAUAUUUUGUAAACUUCGUUUUGUCAUGGAAUAUCUUUGUCUCUCCAUCUAUGUUAAUUAAGAAUUGUGCUGGAUCUAGUAGCCUGAAAUGACAUUUGUGUUGUCAUAGGACCUGUAUGACAUCUGACAAGGAUCUUCCGGCUUUGAUAGUCUCUGCUAAGAAGUCUGCUGUAAUUCUGGGCACAGGAAUGACUCCAGGGAUCCGAACCAGGAGAGCUGAAUCUUCAUGCUCCCAGGAUCAGCAUGUCUCACCAGCCACUCAGGCAGCUGGCACACUCCUGUAGCAUCCUGUAGAAAAAAACACAAAGAUUCCCUCUUUCCCAUAAAAAUACCUGGACAGGACCAUGCCAAUAUGUGGA
ensembl:lncRNA